rfam:Gorilla gorilla gorilla genomic chromosome, chr2A, whole genome shotgun sequence
GUGCUUGCUUCGGCAGUACAUGUACUAAAAUUGGAACAAUACAGAGAACAUUAGCACGGCCCCUUCACAAGGAUGACACCUUCACAAGGAUGACACACAAAUUUAU